rnacentral:lncRNA from 1 species
UAUAUAUCAGUAUAUACCAAUGCGCUUUACAUCAGUAUGAAACUAAAUAUCAACAGUCACUUUAUUUAUCACAUAAGAAGAUAAAGACACUAUAAACACAAGCAGUUACUUUAGUUAUUAAAUGGAAUAUCAGAGACAAAUAAAAGACUUUCACUAUACUUGGCUGUAUCGUCGAUAAUUUGUCUAACAAUGGUGUUUGCCUUUUUGGAUUUCAAAUUCACUUUGAUUCCACGAAAAGCGUACAAUUCAGGACCUGUUGAAGAAUACGAUUAUGUUCUUCAAUUUGAAGACAUAUUUAACGAUACAAUAAGAAAAACAAAGAAAAUACUAGUAUGGACACCAUUUUUCAAAACAGUAAAAAAUGAGCCAAAGGAAUAAAUAAUGAUUUAAAAAAGUGUAAUUAUGCUUGUACAGCCAACCAUAAUCGAGGGAAUCAUCCGCUUAGUGACGCCAUUAUAUUUCAUGACGCUGAUAUAGACAUUAAUGAUAUGCCAGGCCUAAGAAUUCGUCGACAGUCAUGGAUUUUAUAUACUCUUGAACCCACAGCCUUGAUAAAAAAGAAUUACAAUUGAAUGAACGGGAUGUUCAAUUGGACUAUUUCCUACCGGAACUAUUCUACUAUUCUUGGCGCCUAUGGAGGUUAUAUGCCUAAAAGCAUGAAUAAACCAAUGCCACCGCUUGUGUCUUAAUAAAACAAAAACAAAACCAUGUAUGCAUCUAUAAGUAAUUGCCAUGAUGCUGGGAGACGAUUUAAAUUGAUAAAAGAGAUUAUAAAAUACAUUGAUGUGAAAUUGUUCGGUCGCUGCGGUGAUUGAAAGUGGACUAAUUUUGGUGGUCCAUGCCAUCCAAAAGAAAUAUUGAAUUUAUAUAAAUUUAGACGUCUAGCUUUUGAACAUUCUAAUUGUCGGCAUUACGUGACAGAGAAUACUUUGGCGGAGAGUGAUACUAUUCAAAUUGUUAACUGGAUUAAAGGGCAAAUAAACCCAACUGUAAUACCAAAUUCGUAUAUAAAUUGCUUUGACUUCAAAAACAUAAGUGAUUUUGUUAAUUAUAUAGAGAAAGUUGGUGCAAAUGAGACUCUUUUCAACAGUAUUUUGAAUGGAAGAAAAAAUAUGAAUUUGGGAAAUCUGACUCAGAUUAUUGCAAGCUAUGUGAAAAACUGCACAAACCAUACAAAUCUCAGGUAUAUACAGACCUCGGGGGAUGGUUCAAAGAAGAGACAUGUACUAAAUACAGCGUAUACUUAUUAUUACUUCGAAUAACUGUGGAGUAAUGAGACAGUAGCCAAAACAACACAAAAAUAAAAGCCGUUUAGAGGUCUAUUGUUCUAUACGGAACAUUCGUUUCCUGUUCUGGUAAUUCAAA